rnacentral:lncRNA from 1 species
CUCUUUAAUAAAUUGAUAUUUUAGAUGAGGCAAAUGAACCAUUAUCUCCAUAGUUAAAUUUUGAUAUAUUACUACACCUAACAUUAUUUUUAGAAAAAUUCGUACUAUUAGUCCCUAACCUAUUUCUUUGAUCGAUGUGAGCACUUGGCGAAGAUCAACUUGUAUCCCUAGAAUAACUUUUAUCCGUUGAGCGACGGCCUUCAACUUGGCACCAGUGAUCAUUGGAUCACUAAGGCCGAUUGUCAUCCUUGCUCAAUGAGUGGAUCUUGUAGUCAAACUCUCUUCUGCCUUUGCACUCGAGAGACAAUCUCCAUUCAACCCAAAGAAACUUUUACAUUCUCCAUUACUUUUUGAGAAGCCUACGUUCCAUGAAAAUUGUCUACUUGAGAGACCGUUCCCUUUGUUUGUAGAUUCUGACAGAAGGUUAAAAUUCUAAUUUUUUCAGAGUGACAUCUCACUGAUCACUCGGACCCUCUCGAAAGGAGGCAUUCUUUGCCAACCUACUCCUAACAUUACUUCUAGAAAAAGUCGUACCAGUAGUCCAGCAAUACCAUUAUGAAUUGUUUCUUAGUGUUGAUUGAAAGUAGAAAAGUAGUUCUGGACCAAGCUGCC